AGGAAAAGAAGAGAGAGAGAGAGAGAAAACCAAAGGGGGUUGAAGAAAACAGAGGAGAAGAUGAGACCCGAUCGCAAAGUUAUCUGAAAAAAAAAAAGGGGAAGAAGAAGAUUUCUAAUUUUUUAAGCCGAACUUAAGAACCUCAACUAUGGAAGACAGCAAAGCUUGGUCAUACAGGAAUUGGAGCUCCGUACAACCGAGUUUCAAGGAUUUGCUGUACCUGAGUAUCUGAGUUUCUGAGUUUCAAAAGGAUUUUAGUUCAGCUUCUGCCACCAGUGUAGUUGAAGAUUUGCAUAUCACUUUGUAGUUGUUGUAAAGCUGUAAUUACCCUUUUGAUAGAAGAGAAUUUAUAGAAUGGAUGUAAGAUUGGUUGUUCUGUAAAGAUUAUUAUUUUUAUCGUGCAUCCAUUUAGAGUUUGUUAGUCAAAGUUCAGGUCAAAGAUAAGAAGAAGUUAACCAUUGACUUCGUAGUUAGUCAGGGUCUAUGGUUGGCGCGACUCGUUCUAGGACUAGUAGGUGUUUUGGGACGGGUCGUGUCAGUUUAGGUCCAUAAAAAAUAGAGAAAAUAAUAAUUUAUUGAUAA